AAGAUGGUAACACAUUUUCGAGAAGCCAUUAAGUUAGGGAACUCCCGCUAUUAACAAAAGCUAUACAAAAUAAUGAGCAAAGAUUUUAAACAAAAGUACAGACAGGAGUGGGAGUCUCAACCCGAUACAAAGACAUGGCUCUGCAGAAGUAAAAAUGCAGUGGACGUUGAUAUGUUGAUAUUUUGAGUCGAAUAGCAUCAAUAAGACAGCACGCUGCCACACACAAACAUAAGGAGAAAAAUAAGUUCUUGUGUGGCCAAUCUAAGAUUGAUUCGUUCGUGGAUGAUACAAGCAAAAGUGUUGCGACUAGAGUGAGGAGAGCUGAAUCGCUGUUUGUUGCUGCUGCAGCAGAGAACAACAUACCGUUCCGGGCAAUGGAUCAUCUUAGCAAUGUCAUCAAAAACGCAUUUCCUGACAGUGACAUUGCGCAAGGCUUUGCUUGCAAACGGACCAAGUCGGCAUCUUUGGCUUACAAUGUGAUGGCACCUGCUGCAAAGGAAAAACUGAGGAGUGAGGUUAAAAAGAGCGUGUGCCCAGCUGGAAAAACCAUGUUUUCGAUCAUCAUCGACGAGUCUACGGAUGUGACAUGUACUAAUUUACUAGCGUGCGCAGUAGUUAUUCGACACCAAGUACUUAUUUUCGAUUGAUUUGGAUGGCGAGAAAGCAGAGGACUUAUUCCAAGCUUUGGAUAAGGGACUUCAGGAAUUUGUGUUCAGCAUGGAGAACAUCAUAGAAUUUACAGCUGACACCACUAAUGUCAUGUUUGCACCGCAGUACCAUCCGGCCCUAAUAUCUCGUUCACUCCGCCAGUUACGACACAGAUGGGGAAGAGAGUGAAAGCGAACAAGUGCGCCUGCAAUGUGUCUACAGGACUUUUCCAUUUUGUUGUAUUUUAAAAAUUGUGGAUGUAUUUUCUCGUUCUGUGAGCGCGGUUACAAUGUUUAAUAUUGAGUAAAAAAAAAGAAUGUAGAUAUUUUAAGACUUGACCUGAAAUUCGUAGCUUCUGACACUCGUAAAUUUAUUAUUACAAAAUUUGUUGAUCUUAAUUGGCUAAAUUAAAUAAAGUGAUGCAUACAUACAUAUAUAAAUCAUUAUAGCACCUAGUUUCCAUGUUAAAAAUGGAAUGUACAUAUGUAAACGCCAUUUCCGCGCUUACAAAGACAAGCUACUAUUUUAAGUUUCAUCGGUGUUGACAGUAUAUGUAGUGUAUAAAUAAAUUUUCGACUAAAUAUGUA
rnacentral:sRNA from 1 species